rnacentral:rRNA from 1 species
AUUGAACGCUGGCGGCAGGCCUAACACAUGCAAGUCGAGCGGUAACACAGGGAGCUUGCUCCCGGGUGACGAGCGGCGGACGGGUGAGUAAUGUCUGGGAAACUGCCUGAUGGAGGGGGAUAACUACUGGAAACGGUAGCUAAUACCGCAUAACGUCGCAAGACCAAAGAGGGGGACCUUCGGGCCUCUCGCCAUCAGAUGUGCCCAGAUGGGAUUAGCUAGUAGGUGGGGUAACGGCUCACUUAGGCGACGAUCCCUAGCUGGCCUGAGAGGAUGACCAGCCACACUGGAACUGAGACACGGUCCAGACUCCUACGGGAGGCAGCAGUGGGGAAUAUUGCACAAUGGGCGCAAGCCUGAUGCAGCCAUGCCGCGUGUAUGAAGAAGGCCUUCGGGUUGUAAAGUACUUUCAGCGGGGAGGAAGGUGUUGAGGUUAAUAACCUCAGCAAUUGACGUUACCCGCAGAAGAAGCACCGGCUAACUCCGUGCCAGCCGCCGCGGUAAUAC